rnacentral:rRNA from 1 species
GACGAACGCUGGCGGCGUGCCUAAUACAUGCAAGUAGAACGCUGAAGAGAGGAGCUUGCUCUUCUUGGAUGAGUUGCGAACGGGUGAGUAACGCGUAGGUAACCUGCCUUGUAGCGGGGGAUAACUAUUGGAAACGAUAGCUAAUACCGCAUAACAAUGGAUGACGCAUGUCAUUUAUUUGAAAGGGGCAAUUGCUCCACUACAAGAUGGACCUGCGUUGUAUUAGCUAGUAGGUGAGGUAAUGGCUCACCUAGGCGACGAUACAUAGCCGACCUGAGAGGGUGAUCGGCCACACUGGGACUGAGACACGGCCCAGACUCCUACGGGAGGCAGCAGUAGGGAAUCUUCGGCAAUGGGGGCAACCCUGACCGAGCAACGCCGCGUGAGUGAAGAAGGUUUUCGGAUCGUAAAGCUCUGUUGUAAGUCAAGAACGGGUGUGAGAGUGGAAAGUUCACACUGUGACGGUAGCUUACCAGAAAGGGACGGCUAACUACGUGCCAGCAGCCGCGGUAAUACGUAGGUCCCGAGCGUUGUCCGGAUUUAUUGGGCGUAAAGCGAGCGCAGGCGGUUUGAUAAGUCUGAAGUUAAAGGCUGUGGCUCAACCAUAGUUCGCUUUGGAAACUGUCAAACUUGAGUGCAGAAGGGGAGAGUGGAAUUC